GCCGGGCAUGGUGGUGCAUGCCUGUAGUCCCAGCUACUCGGGAGACUGAGGUGGGAGGAUCGCUUGAGCCUAGGAGGGUGCGGUUGCAUUGACCUAUGAUUGUGCUACUGCACUCCAGCCUGGGCAACAAAGUGAGACCCUGUCUCAA
rnacentral:SRP_RNA from 1 species